CAGAGGGUGCGAGCGUUGUCCGGAAUCACUGGGCGUAAAGGGCGCGUAGGUGGCCCGACAAGUCAGUGGUGAAAGCUCGAUGCUUAACAUCGAGUCGGCCACUGAUACUGUUGGGCUGGAGCACUGUAGAGGCUCAUGGAAUUCCGGGUGUAGCGGUGGAAUGCGUAGAGAUCCGGAAGAACACCGGUGGCGAAGGCGGUGAGCUGGGCAGUAGCUGACACUGAGGCGCGACAGCGUGGGGAGCAAACAGGAUUAGAUACCCUGGUAGUCCACGCCAUAAACGAUGGGCACUAGAUGCUUGGGGGAGCGACCCCCUGAGUGUCGACGCUAACGCAUUAAGUGCCCCGCCUGGGGAGUACGGCCGCAAGGCUG
rnacentral:rRNA from 1 species